CCAUUGUUGAUGGGCUUGGCCUUGGCCAGCAGCAGACACAGGGGAAGCUUCUGGCAUCUUCUCACAGAAGCCACCCCUAUAGACCCCCUGCUACCAAAAGCUCACCAUGCAAGCCCAAU